rnacentral:rRNA from 1 species
AACGAACGCUGGCGGCAUGCCUAACACAUGCAAGUCGAACGAGACCUUCGUGUCUGGUUGCGCACGGGUGCGUAACGCGUGGGAACCUGCCCUUAGGUUCGGGAUAACUCCCCUAAAUGGGUGCUAAUACCGGAUAAUUUCUUCUGAUCAAAGAUUUGUCGCCUUUGUGUGGGCCGGCGUUGUAUUAGCUAUUUGGUAGUGUAAAAGCCUACCAAGGGUACGAUCCAUAGCUGGGCUGAGAGGAACAUCAGCGACACUGAGAGUGAGCCACGGCCGAGAAUACUACAGGAGGGAGCAAAGGGGAAUCUUGGAAAACGGGCGGAAGCAUGAAGCAGCACUGCUGCGUGAGUGAUGAAGGCCUUAGAGAUGAAAAGCUCUUUUACACGCGACGAUAAUGACAGUACCGAAAGAAUAAGCUCCGGCUAACUUCGUG